GACGGCAACCAUUCCACAUUGAAAGCAUCGGUUCUUGUCCGAUCACCGAACUUAAGCAAAUUUGGUCCCGGUUAGUACUUGCAUGGGUGACCGGCCGGGAAUAGGGAGUGUUGUCGGCU
rnacentral:rRNA from 1 species